GCGUGAGUGAAGAAGGCCCUUGGGUUGUAAAGCUCUUUCGUCGGGGAAGAAAAUGACUGUACCCGAAUAAGAAGGUCCGGCUAACUUCGUGCCAGCAGCCGCGGUAAUACGAAGGGACCUAGCGUAGUUCGGAAUUACUGGGCUUAAAGAGUCCGUAGGUGGUUGAAAAAGUUAGUGGUGAAAUCCCAGAGCUUAACUCUGGAACUGCCAUUAAAACUUUUCAGCUAGAGUAUGAUAGAGGAAAGCAGAAUUUCUAGUGUAGAGGUGAAAUUCGUAGAUAUUAGAAAGAAUACCAAUUGCGAAGGCAGCUUUCUGGAUCAUUACUGACACUGAGGAACGAAAGCAUGGGUAGCGAAGAGGAUUAGAUACCCUCGUAGUCCAUGCCGUAAACGAUGUGUGUUAGACGUUGGAAAUUUAUUUUCAGUGUCGCAGGGAAACCGAUAAACACACCGCCUGGGGAGUACGACCGCAAGGUUAAAACUCAAAUGAAUUGACGGGGACCCGCACAAGUAGUGGAGCAUGUGGUUUAAUUCGAAGAUACGCGCAGAACCUUACCAACACUUGACAUGUUCGUCGCGACUCUAAGAGAUUAGAGUUUUCGGUUCGGCCGGACGAAACACAGGUGCUGCAUGGCUGUCGUCAGCUCGUGUCGUGAGAUGUUGGGUUAAGUCCCGCAACGAGCGCAACCCUCACUUUUAGUUGCCAUCAUUAAGUUGGGCACUCUGAAAGAACUGCCAGUGAUAAGCUGGAGGAAGGUGGGGAUGACGUCAAGUCCUCAUGGCCCUUACGUGUUGGG
rnacentral:rRNA from 1 species